rnacentral:rRNA from 1 species
UACUGAGGGUGCAAGCGUUAUCCGGAUUCACUGGGUUUAAAGGGUGCGUAGGUGGGCAGGUAAGUCAGUGGUGAAAUCUUUGGGCUUAACCCGAAAACUGCCAUUGAUACUAUUUGUCUUGAAUAUUGUGGAGGUCAGCGGAAUAUGUCAUGUAGCGGUGAAAUGCUUAGAUAUGACAUAGAACACCAAUUGCGAAGGCAGCUGGCUACGCAAAUAUUGACACUGAUGCACGAAAGCGUGGGGAUCAAACAGG